CUACGGGUCCAGCAGUGGGGAAUAUUCGGCAAUGGGCGAAAGCCUGACCGAGCCAUGCCGCGUGAGUGAUGAAGGCCUUAGGGUUGUAAAACUCUUUCGCCGGUGAAGAUAAUGACGGUAACCGGUAAAGAAGCCCCGGCUAAUUUCGUGCCAGCAGCCGCGGUAAUACGAAAGGGGCAAGCAUUGUUCGGAAUUACUGGGCGUAAAGCGCGCGUAGGCGGCCUAUCAAGUUAGGGGUGAAAUCCCGGAGCUCAACUCCGGAACUGCCUCUAAAACUGAUAAGCUAGAGGAUGCGAGAGGAAAGUGGAAUUCCGAGUGUAGAGGUGAAAUUCGUAGAUAUUCGGAAGAACACCAGUGGCGAAGGCGACUUUCUGGCGCAUAUCUGACGCUGAGGUGCGAAAGCGUGGGGAGCAAACAGGAUUAGAUACCCGAGUAGUC
rnacentral:rRNA from 1 species